AGGAGACGUGCUGAAAAACUAGAAUCCAAUCUAUUUGGAUUGGGUUUAGACAUUUAUUUUUGUCUAACUAGGAGACAUGCUUGUUGAGACCUAGAAAAUUCAUCUCACUGUGAGACAAACAUGGCACAAAUAUGUAACCCGAGAUUAACCUUCCUUGAGCUGAACAUGGAAGCGGUGGAUAUUAUUGAAAGUUCAUUACAUCGAAAUCCAAUGAGAAGGUAUAUAAUGUAAAGGAAUGAAUAAAGUUGUAUAUUGCAUUACUUUUGAGAGUUUACAAGAGGUGUAUAUAUACACAAGUAUAGUAACCUAAUUGGAGUAACUUAUGGAGUAAAUUAAGGAACAAAUAUCUCCAAUAAUUAAGGAACAAAUAUCUCCAAUAAUUAAGGUGAUUGACUCUAUAGACUUUAUACAAAUCCUAAAAUAAUAAUGAUAAUAAUUAAAUACUAAUUAUGCUUGAUA
rnacentral:lncRNA from 1 species